rnacentral:miRNA from 1 species
AUGUAUGUAAUUAUGCCUGUGUGUGUGUUCACACUUGUAUAGUCAAAAUUUCACACACACACACACACACACACACACACACACACACACACACAAAU